rnacentral:rRNA from 1 species
UGGGCAACCUACCCUUGACUCUGGGAUAACUCCGGGAAACCGAGGCUAAUACCGGAUACUCCGGUCGAACCGCAUGGCUCGAUCGGGAAAGCUCCGACGGUCUGGGAUGGGCCCGCGGCCUAUCAGCUUGUUGGUGGGGUAACGGCCUACCAGGGCGACGACGGGUAGCUGGUCUGAGAGGACGACCAGCCACACUGGAACUGAGAUACGGUCCAGACUCCUACGGGAG